UACGUAGGGUGCAAGCGUUGUCCGGAAUUAUUGGGCGUAAAGGGCUCGUAGGCGGUCCGUCACGUCGGCUGUGAAAACCCGGGGCUCAACCCCGGGCCUGCAGUCGAUACGGGCGGACUAGAGUUCGGCAGGGGAGACUGGAAUUCCUGGUGUAGCGGUGGAAUGCGCAGAUAUCAGGAGGAACACCGAUGGCGAAGGCAGGUCUCUGGGCCACUACUGACGCUGAGAAGCGAAAGCAUGGGGAGCGAACAGG
rnacentral:rRNA from 1 species